rnacentral:piRNA from 1 species
UCACACAUUCACAAUGUCUUAGAACUGGCA